CCUACGGGUGGCAGCAGUGGGGAAUAUUGGACAAUGGGGGCAACCCUGAUCCAGCCAUGCCGCGUGUGUGAAGAAGGCCCUCGGGUUGUAAAGCACUUUCAGUGAGGAAGAACGCCUGGAGGUUAAUACCCAUCAGGAAAGACAUCACUCACAGAAGAAGCACCGGCUAACUCCGUGCCAGCAGCCGCGGUAAUACGGAGGGUGCGAGCGUUAAUCGGAAUUACUGGGCGUAAAGCGCGCGUAGGUGGCUUGAUAAGCCGGUUGUGAAAGCCCCGGGCUCAACCUGGGAACGGCAUCCGGAACUGUCAAGCUAGAGUGCAGGAGAGGAAGGUAGAAUUCCCGGUGUAGCGGUGAAAUGCGUAGAGAUCGGGAGGAAUACCAGUGGCGAAGGCGGCCUUCUGGACUGACACUGACACUGAGGUGCGAAAGCGUGGGUAGCAAACAGGAUUAGAUACCCUAGUAGUC
rnacentral:rRNA from 1 species